AUUGAACGCUGGCGGCAGGCUUAACACAUGCAAGUCGAGCGGGGUGAUGGUGCUUGCACUAUCACUUAGCGGCGGACGGGUGAGUAAUGCUUAGGAAUCUGCCUAUUAGUGGGGGACAACAUCUCGAAAGGGAUGCUAAUACCGCAUACGUCCUACGGGAGAAAGCAGGGGAUCACUUGUGACCUUGCGCUAAUAGAUGAGCCUAAGUCGGAUUAGCUAGUUGGUGGGGUAAAGGCCUACCAAGGCGACGAUCAGUAGCGGGUCUGAGAGGAUGAUCCGCCACACUGGGACUGAGACACGGCCCAGACUCCUACGGGAGGCAGCAGUGGGGAAUAUUGGACAAUGGGGGGAACCCUGAUCCAGCCAUGCCGCGUGUGUGAAGAAGGCCUUAUGGUUGUAAAGCACUUUAAGCGAGGAGGAGGCUCUUUUGGUUAAUACCCAAGACGAGUGGACGUUACUCGCAGAAUAAGCACCGGCUAACUCUGUGCCAGCAGCCGCGGUAA
rnacentral:rRNA from 1 species